AUGUUGUUUUUUGUUGUUGUUGAUUGAUUACUUGGCUAGUGACUUUGUUUAAAGAAACUAGUUCAAAUCCCCUAACCCAGAUUAUAAAUUAAAAACUAAAAAAAACUAAAAAAUAAAAAAAAACCAAGAAAACCAUGUUUGUUAUUGUUGAAAAUUUAGUUUUCGCUUAGCGAACUAGCCUAGUGUCAAGAUCUCUUCGCGGAAUCUCCUAGAAGAAAGUCUCUCGAGCUGGAUUUGUGUAGUCAUUUCCUCGAACCAACACACUCACCCCCUGUUUCUAGCUUUCUCAGUUUAAAGCUAAGAAGCACGGACACGG
rnacentral:lncRNA from 1 species